rnacentral:rRNA from 1 species
GAUGAACGCUGGCGGCGUGCUUAACACAUGCAAGUCGAACGGAAAGGCCCAAGCUUGCUUGGGUACUCGAGUGGCGAACGGGUGAGUAACACGUGGGUGAUCUGCCCUGCACUUCGGGAUAAGCCUGGGAAACUGGGUCUAAUACCGGAUAGGACCACAUUUUGGAUGGUGUGGUGGAAAGUUUUUCGGUGUGGGAUGAGCUCGCGGCCUAUCAGCCUGUUGGUGGGGUAAUGGCCUACCAAGGCGUCGACGGGUAGCCGGCCUGAGAGGGUGUACGGCCACAUUGGGACUGAGAUACGGCCCAGACGCCGACGGGAGGCAGCUGUGGGGAAUCUUGCACAAUGGGCGCCAGCCUGAUGCAGCGACGCCGCGUGGGGGAUGACGGCCUUCGGGUUGUAAACUCCUUUCGCUAGGGACGAAGCGUUAUGUGACGGUACCUGGAGAAGAAGCACCGGCUAACUACGUG